CUUGUGAUUUUUCCCCCUGCGUCUUUCCUUGGAUUUUACCGUUGGAUUCUUUUAGUUGGACAUUUUUAAUAAAGUUUUUGUUGUAUUUUUCAUUUAGUCCUCCUUUCUUACAUCCUUUGUUCUGCAGUUUGAUCUUUUUCUUUGUAUAACCCUGUGCAACGUAACACAGAUCUGCCAGUCAGUUUUGGAGACUAUAUCUACUUAAGUCGAGUUGAUUCAAAGCAUGUCAGUCUGGCUCCAUACGUGUUCCCAUGACAGGCGCCACUUUGUACAAUGUCACUUUUGUCUUUUAAAAGUUGUUUAAUUAACGUUUGGUGCUGAAAAGAUACAGUUGGGAGGAGUAUCACUUAAAUGAUGCCGUAGGCUUGUCAGCACUUAUAACACCACUCCUAGAACUACGCCCUUCAAAUAGGACACUAUCUUUGAAAACAAUGAAUGAGUCAGCUUUCAGAUAUUUCUGAUAUGGGUGUGAUUCAAAACCAACAAACAGAUAACACACCUCAUCUAUUAGAGCAGAUAAUAUCGGUCACAAACUGUUCCCAGCUCUUGUGUAUCUAGGACACAGUUUUUUUGUUUACUUGGAACUUAACUGAUAUACGUAAAUGGCAGCAAUUACUGCUGGAAGGACACCUCAUAAUAGGUUUUACUAAAGGCAAACAAGAAACUGUAUAGAAACAUGAUUGAGAAACUCCUCUGGGCUUGAGUCCCUUUAAUCACGAUGAACUGAGGUACUGUAGAAAACUUUGGCCUGAGGAAAACCAACUCAGCAGUCUUUUUGGAAACUAUGGAUGUUCUUUUACUCUUCAGAAGAGAGGGAGCCUGCAGGCAGUUUAAAAGCCAGCACCCAUGAUGUAUGGGGAUUGUUGCGGCCCCUGGUAAGGCUGUCAGGGGUUAGGGUGAACUUUACUUCUGUUUGGGCUCUCUCUCACCCUGUUUGUGUUGCAGGCCUUCCACACCUCCCCCUCUCCAUUCUGCCACACCUGAGGAGUCUGAGCUGCUGAGGCUGACCAGCCUCAUCUGAAAGGUUACAGUAGAUCCUCAAGCCAGAGCUUCAGUCUCUCUCGCUCCACUCCUGUGAUGUGCUGUACGUUUAUUUUGUGAGAACCAUUUUAGUUAAAGACUGAGGAAGGGUUAGGGGAACGUUUGCCAUUAUUUGUUUGACCUUGGUUUUCUUCUGUUUCCUGGCUAGUCAGGAAGUUAAGAAUUGGAUUUUGGUACAGACAGGUAAG